rnacentral:misc_RNA from 1 species
GCCCCCCAUCUCUCUCUCUCUCACAAUUGCUAGAGAGUUACACUUAGGAUUGCUGUCAACAAUUUACUACCUUUUUGUUUAUACAAAAAAGCUGAAUUUCAUUUCCAAUUUACCUGGUAGUUGGAGUAAUCAAUAGGAAUUGAAAUGGCCCUCAAUUUGCUUUCUCCUGCUGAAAUUAAGUCAAUCUCUUUCUUGGACAAUUCAAAGUCCAGCUACAAUCUUAGCCAUCUUAAGUUUACAGGUGGACUGUCUAUCAGAAGAAAGGAGUGCAGUGGGGCAUUUGCUAAGAGAGUUCAGUGUUCAGCACAGCUGCCACCACCUCCUGCCUGGCCUGGAAGGGCUGUUGCUGAGCCAGGAAGGCAGAGUUGGGAUGGUCCAAAGCCUAUCUCAAUUGUUGGGUCGACUGGCUCUAUAGGAACUCAGACACUGGAUAUAGUCGCUGAGAAUCCGGACAAGUUUAGAGUUGUUGCACUUGCUGCUGGUUCAAAUGUGACUCUUCUUGCUGAUCAGGUCAAAACAUUCAGGCCAAAAUUAGUUGCUGUAAGAAAUGAAUCAUUGGUUGAAGAACUCAAAGAUGCUCUUGCUGAUAUGGAAGACAAGCCUGAGAUUAUACCUGGGGAGCAGGGUGUGAUCGAGGUUGCCCGCCAUCCUGAUGCUGUCACUGUAGUUACAGGAAUAGUUGGCUGCGCAGGUUUGAAGCCUACAGUGGCUGCCAUCGAAGCAGGAAAAGACAUUGCUUUGGCCAAUAAAGAGACUUUAAUUGCUGGUGGUCCAUUUGUCCUUCCUCUUGCACACAAGCAUAAAGUGAAGAUUCUUCCUGCAGAUUCAGAACAUUCAGCUAUAUUCCAGUGCAUACAAGGCUUGCCAGAGGGUGCCCUUAGGCGCAUUAUAUUAACUGCAUCUGGAGGGGCUUUCAGG